rnacentral:rRNA from 1 species
AUUGAACGCUGGCGGCAGGCUUAACACAUGCAAGUCGAGCGGGGGAAGGUAGCUUGCUACCGGACCUAGCGGCGGACGGGUGAGUAAUGCUUAGGAAUCUGCCUAUUAGUGGGGGACAACAUCUCGAAAGGGAUGCUAAUACCGCAUACGUCCUACGGGAGAAAGCAGGGGAUCUUCGGACCUUGCGCUAAUAGAUGAGCCUAAGUCGGAUUAGCUAGUUGGUGGGGUAAAGGCCUACCAAGGCGACGAUCUGUAGCGGGUCUGAGAGGAUGAUCCGCCACACUGGGACUGAGACACGGCCCAGACUCCUACGGGAGGCAGCAGUGGGGAAUAUUGGACAAUGGGGGGAACCCUGAUCCAGCCAUGCCGCGUAUGUGAAGAAGGCCUUAUGGUUGUAAAGCACUUUAAGCGAGGAGGAGGCUACUCUAGUUAAUACCUAGGGAUAGUGGACGUUACUCGCAGAAUAAGCACUGGCUAACUCUGUGCCAGCAGCCGCCGUAA